rnacentral:rRNA from 1 species
GUCCACGCUGUAAACGAUGAUCACUAGACGUCAGUUCGGCUCUGCUGGAUUGGUGUCGUAGCUAACGCGUUAAGUGAUCCGCCUGGGGAGUACGGUCGCAAGACUAAAACUUAAAGGAAUUGACGGGGGUCCGCACAAGCGGUGGAACAUGUGGUUUAAUUCGACACUACGCGAGGAACCUUACCUGGACUUGACAUGUUUUUGACAGUCGUAGAAAUACUAUCUUCCAAGCUUCGGUUUGGACAAUUUCACAGGUGUUGCAUGGCUGUCGU